AGAUGCUGCAGAAGAUAUAUAAAUGGUUCAGGAGUGAAUAUAAGGACUUUCUCUGCAUCUCUAAUCUUUAAGUAAAAUCAAACCAGCUGCAUUAGGUCUUUUACAUUGCAGAUGUUGAUUCUGCAGUCUUUCAAAUGGAAACAUUCCAUGAUUCAUAAAGAAUUAUGAUUAAAAGACGGCAGAGAGAUGAGAAACCUCACACCAUUAUGAAUAGAGAUGAACAUGUGUGAAAAGUUACUGCAGAAUGCUGUGCAAUCUACUCCCAGAAAAGGAAAAAAAUGUUCCCUUUGGUUGAAUGAAAUCUAUAAAUUAAGUAAAGAUGCUCCUCUCCUACUGUUUGAGUCUUUCAUAUUGGCUUACAGCAGUAAAAUCAUAAGAAUUGAGUACGGAGUACAACACUACUGCUACUCAGCUGUCAUUUUCAAGAAAACAGAUAAUAUAAAUUGUUCUAGCUAUCACAGUGUGUUCAGCAGGCUGGAAAGAGAGAGAGAGAGAGACGUGGUGAGGGACAACGAGGAGAGAGGAGCUCUGAAGACAACCUUCCUUGGGACCCUGCCUGAGCCUUGGUGGUGUGUGGAUCAGCGCAUAGCGCUCAGGCUCUAGGAGCCACUCGAGGCGGCUUGAGCCUGCGAACCUGGCAAGUGGCUGGGUAGGCAGCGUGUGGAUCAGUGCAUGAAAACCGGCCUUGGGAGCAGCUCAAGGCUGCUCAGGCCCCACACAGUGUGUAGUCCAGCACAUGGAGAGCUGGCCCUGGGAGCAGCUCAAGGCUGCUCAAGUUAGCCCUGGCUCUAGGCUGAGUAACCAGAGCCCCACAGUGCGGAUCUGAAUUAAACUAAAAGAGCCCCGGUGCCCGGAGCAGGACUCAGGAAAGGAAAGAACCCCCAGUGUGAGGCCGAGAAACCAGAGCCAGUGCAGGCUCAACUCCUAUGGGAACACCCUGGGCGUCCACUGCAGGGCACCAGGCCAUCAAGAGGAGCCGGAGAGAGAGUCCCUUAUAGGACUGGCCACCAGGGGAUGAGCUUUGGCUACUUCAGAGCGGGAGCAUGAGUUGCUGGGGAAAUAGGUCCCGCAGGGUAGAUGGGCUGGGGGGAGGAGGGACUGCUGCCUCCACCCUCCUCCAUUGUGGGAGGGGGCAUGUCCACAUCCCAGGGCCCUAAAGGGGGGGAGAGGCUCCAGGGAACACCCUGGGAGGUGCUGAGUGCACCCCCUUAUUUUGUGAUUGUUGUUUCAUGCUGUGGAAGUUAAUAUAGUUAUGGGUACUCCUUAAGGUAGUUUAUAUGCGUUUAUCUGUCUUCAUUGCCUCUAAGUGUUUAUUGCCUAUUACUGGACCAUACCUGUAGUGUUGCCUGUGUACAUGUAUGGUAUUGCUACCUCAGUGUACCUGGGUUAUCUAAGUUGAUGCUAAUAUGUGUUUAUUGUGUUGAUGCCUUGACUUACCUGUUCCAAAGUGUUAAUGCUUAUUUUGUACAGGGGGGCUAAUUAUUGUAUAUGCUGUGAGUCACAGCUUAUAUUUUUGUAGUCCCCUGAAGUGGUAUAAUAUUAUUAUAUGUGAUGUCACAUAUUAAUUUUGCUGUAAAUAUUUAAUGUUCCUUAUUUAUAUGUAUUUAUUGUAGAAAUAAAUUUGUAUAUAGUUAA